rnacentral:rRNA from 1 species
UACGUAGGGUGCAAGCGUUAAUCGGAAUUACUGGGCGUAAGCGUGCGCAGGCGGCUUUGCAAGACAGAUGUGAAAUCCCCGGGCUUAACCUGGGAACUGCAUUUGUGACUGCAUGGCUGGAGUGCGGCAGAGGGGAUGGAAUUCCGCGUGUAGCAGUGAAAUGCGUAGAUAUGCGGAGGAACACCGAUGGCGAAGGCAAUCCCCUGGGCCUGCACUGACGCUCAUGCACGAAAGCGUGGGAGCAACAGG